rnacentral:rRNA from 1 species
GAUGAACGCUGGCGGCGUGCUUAACACAUGCAAGUCGAACGGAAAGGCUCCUGCUUGCAGGGGUACUCGAGUGGCGAACGGGUGAGUAACACGUGGGUGAUCUGCCCAGCACUUCGGGAUAAGCCUGGGAAACUGGGUCUAAUACCGGAUAGGACGAUGGUUUGGAUGCCAUUGUGGAAAGUUUUUUCGGUGUGGGAUGAGCUCGCGGCCUAUCAGCUUGUUGGUGGGGUAAUGGCCUACCAAGGCGUCGACGGGUAGCCGGCCUGGGAGGGUGUACGGCCACAUUGGGACUGAGAUACGGCCCAGACUCCUACGGGAGGCAGCAGUGGGGAAUAUUGCACAAUGGGCGCAAGCCUGAUGCAGCGACGCCGCGUGGGGGAUGACGGCCUUCGGGUUGUAAACUGCUUUCGCUAGGGACGAAGCGCGAGUGACGGUACCUGGAGAAGAAGCACCGGCUAACUACGUG